rnacentral:rRNA from 1 species
UAAAAGUCGUAACAAGGUUUCUGUAGGUGAACCUGCAGAAGGAUCAUUAGUGAAGAUUUGGGCAGGCCAUACGGACGCCAAAAAGUGUCCCUGGCCGCCUACACCCACUAUACAUCCACAAACCCGUGUGCACUGUCUUGGAGAAAGGCUUCAGAGAAGUUUUUUGUGGCCUCUCUUGGGGUCUUUCUUCGCUACAAACUCGAAUGGUUAGUAUGAACGUGGAACUUGGUUGGACCGUCACUGGCCAACAAACUAUACACAACUUUCGACAACGGAUCUCUUGGUUCUCCCAUCGAUGAAGAACGCAGCGAAACGCGAUAGGUAAUGUGAAUUGCAGAAUUCCGUGAAUCAUCGAAUCUUUGAACGCACCUUGCGCUCUAUGGCAAUCCGUAGAGCAUGCCUGUUUGAGUGCCAUGAAAUCUCCCACCCCAAGCGGUUUUUAAAUGAAACGGCUUGGCGGAUGGGGUCUGGAUGGGUGCCUCUGCCUGCGCUACCUAGCACAGGCUCGCCCGAAAUGCAUGAGCGCCCUGAGACACUUUGCAUCCGCCUCUCUGUUUGGGAGGAGGCGGCCAAGCAGUGUUUUUCUCCUGGCAUGGCAUGAUACGCCAUUUGCUAUGUCGCCUAAAGGAGGAAUGUUUGGUUGUGUCUGCGUGUGCUUCGAACUUGCCUCUGUGGCACAUCCCAAUUUCACUUCUGGUCUCAAAUCAGGUAGGAUCACCCGCUGAACUUAAGCAUAUCAAUA